AACGAACGCUGGCGGCAUGCCUAACACAUGCAAGUCGAACGAGACCUUCGGGUCUAGUUGCGCACGGGUGCGUAACGCGUUGGAACCUGCCCUUAGGUUCGGAAUAACUCCCCGAAAGGGGUGCUAAUACCGGAUAAUGUCUUCGGACCAAAGAUUUAUCGCCUUUGGAUGGGCCCGCGUUGGAUUAGCUAGUUGGUAGGGUAAAAGCCUACCAAGGCGACGAUACAUAGCUGGUCUGAGAGGAUGAUCAGCCACACUGGGACUGAGACACGGCCCAGACUCCUACGGGAGGCAGCAGUGGGGAAUAUUGGAAAAUGGGCGAAAGCCUGAUCCAGCUAUGCAGCGUGAGUGAUGAAGGCCUUAGGGUAGUAAAGCUAUUUUACCCGGGAUGAUAAUGACAGUACCGGGAGAAUAAGCCCCGGCUAACUCCGUG
rnacentral:rRNA from 1 species